rnacentral:rRNA from 1 species
AAAACUUUCAACAACGGAUCUCUUGGUUCUGGCAUCGAUGAAGAACGCAGCGAAAUGCGAUAAGUAAUGUGAAUUGCAGAAUUCAGUGGAUCAUCGAAUCUUUGAACGCACAUUGCGCCCGCCAGUAUUCUGGCGGGCAUGCCUGUCCGAGCGUCAUUUCAACCC